rnacentral:rRNA from 1 species
UACGUAGGGGGCAAGCGUUGUCCGGAUUUAUUGGGCGUAAAGAGCGUGUAGGCGGCCAAAUAGGUCGGUUGUGAAAACUGGAGGCUUAACCUCCAGACGUCGACCGAAACCAUCUGGCUAGAGUCCGGAAGAGGAGAGUGGAAUUCCUGGUGUAGCGGUGAAAUGCGCAGAUAUCAGGAGGAACACCGAUGGCGAAGGCAGCUCUCUGGGACGGUACUGACGCUGAGACGCGAAAGCGUGGGGAGCGAACAGG